rnacentral:lncRNA from 1 species
AAUCAAAAUUUUAUAGGUUGAAAUUUAUUUAUCGAUCAGAAAUUGUCAAAUUAAUAGGUCAUGUAUUAUUUCGCAGUCACAAAUUACAAAUUUUGUAAGCACAAUUUGUUUAUCGAUAACAGAUUAUCAAAUUAAUAUGUCAUGUAAUAUUUCUCAAUCACAAAUCACAAAAUUUAUAAUUCACAACCUAUUUCACGAUCAUAAAUUAUCUAAUUAGUUGGUUACAGGUUGUUUCGCGGUCACAAAUUAACAAAUUAAUUGGUUACAACUUAUUUAUCAAUGACAAAUUAUCAUAUUAAUUGAUCACAAUUUUUUUCUCGAUCACAAAUAAACAAAUUAAUGGGUCACGAUUUAUUAAUCGAUCAUAUAUUAUUAUUAAUUGGUCACAAUUACCCAGUUAACUAGUCAUAAAUUUUUACACAAGUCUCACCCAUCUAGGGAUGUCAAUGAGUUAAGCCAAAACCCGAGGCUCCUUGACCCGAGCAAAAUGGUGCGAACUUUUUUACAGGCCUGAGUCGAGCCAAGCUUUGCUCGGCCAAAAAAAUUAUGUUCGACCCAAGCUUUUGGUACAAGCCUUUUUGAGCCAAGCCGAGUCGAACAGGCUCUUUCUUUUCUUCCGUAAUAACUACUGCCUUUUCCUUUCUAUUUUAAAGGGCUUUGAUCUCGAGCCGACGAGCCACAUGGGCUAGCUCAAAACCAAGCCUCGAGUCUGACUGACUUGAGCUUUUUUCGAACCUAGCCACGGGUGGUCCAAACUGACAUGCUAAAUUGACAUCCCUACACCUACCCUACCUCGUUGUUGGUACCACCGAUGGCACCAUCUCAUCACUACCAACACAAUCGCCAAUCAACAACCACUACACCACAACCUCAACCACCUUCACCUCCGCUUUUACCUCUACUACAACUCCAACCACACCCGCACCAUCAUCACACAACUAGUGAUGCACCACAAUCAUCCCAACACCACCAACGCCUGUAUCACCCACUGCACUAGAACUAGCAACACCAUCGCACACAACAGCACAUAGAUCACAGUAAACCACAAACCACAGUACGCACAAAUCAGCACAACACCGCCACAAAUUUUAUAGCCUUUUUUUUGUCACAAACAGAUCACCACUGCGCAGCUAUGUGCCACUCAUAGCGUCAUCACCACCACAAGUCUUCCUCCCACCACCAGAUGUAUCUAUGCCAGAGCCACUACUUUUUCCUAUAUUCACACCAUCCCAAUAUUUACAUGAACCACCGCCGUGCGAAGUUGCACACAGCAGUGAUAAGCAUGUGACAUUGCACGUAGCGCCAUUGUCGUUGUGCAGUGCAGCUGUGGGUAUGGGUAUAGUGGCUCCGCGCGAUGCUAUUGGUGGAUUAUUGGGGUUGCUAUGCUUAGUAGGGUGGAUAUGGUAGAAGUGUGGGUAUGAUGAAUUUAUUAGAUUAUUAGGGUUCGGG